CCUACGGGCGGCAGCAGUGGGGAAUAUUGGACAAUGGGGGCAACCCUGAUCCAGCCAUGCCGCGUGUGUGAAGAAGGCCCUCGGGUUGUAAAGCACUUUCAGUGAGGAAGAACGCCUGGUGGUUAAUACCCAUCAGGAAAGACAUCACUCACAGAAGAAGCACCGGCUAACUCCGUGCCAGCAGCCGCGGUAAUACGGAGGGUGCGAGCGUUAAUCGGAAUUACUGGGCGUAAAGCGCGCGUAGGUGGCUUGAUAAGCCGGUUGUGAAAGCCCCGGGCUCAACCUGGGAACGGCAUCCGGAACUGUCAAGCUAGAGUGCAGGAGAGGAAGGUAGAAUUCCCGGUGUAGCGGUGAAAUGCGUAGAGAUCGGGAGGAAUACCAGUGGCGACGGCGGCCUUCUGGACUGACACUGACACUGAGGUGCGAAAGCGUGGGUAGCAAACAGGAUUAGAUACCCCAGUAGUC
rnacentral:rRNA from 1 species